AGUUGCCGCCGUCGUCCGCAGAGCCAGUGCCUAGCGCAGAGCCGCGCCCGCCAUGAGGGAGAUUGUGCACAUCCAGGCGGGCCAGUGCGGGAACCAGAUCGGCACCAAGGUGGGCCUGGCGCGGUGCGGGGCUUCUCCGCGGGUGGGCUGCUGGCGGGCCCCGGGUCUCCCGGCGCGACCCCCGCCGGGGCGCGCACCCGCUGUGCGCCCCUGGGUCCUCGGAGCCCGGUGCGGACCCGCGCGGGCCGCAGGGAGGGAGCGCCCAGGGCGUGGCCGGCCAGGGACCCUCUACUCCUCGCUCCCCACCCCUAUCCCAACUGGGAGCGGCUGCCGGCGGCUCAGGCGCGCCUGGAAUUCGGCCGCCGGGGCGCCUGGGGUGGGCGCGGGUGGCGGUGUCCCGGGCUCUGGGUUCUGAGCGUCUGUCCCCCCGCCUUGCCCUGCCCAAGUUUUGGGAAGUGAUAAGCGAUGAGCACGGCAUCGACCCGGCCGGAGGCUACGUGGGAGACUCGGCGCUGCAGCUGGAGAGAAUCAGCGUCUACUACAAUGAGUCAUCGUCUCAGAAAUAUGUGCCCAGGGCCGCCUUGGUGGACUUAGAGCCAGGCACCAUGGACAGCGUGCGGUCCGGGCCUUUUGGGCAGCUUUUCCGGCCUGACAACUUCAUCUUUGGCCAGACGGGCGCAGGGAACAACUGGGCGAAGGGGCACUACACGGAGGGCGCGGAGCUGGUGGACGCAGUGCUGGACGUGGUGCGGAAGGAGUGCGAGCACUGCGACUGCCUGCAGGGCUUCCAGCUCACGCACUCGCUGGGCGGCGGCACGGGCUCGGGCAUGGGCACGCUGCUCAUCAGCAAGAUCCGUGAGGAGUUCCCGGACCGCAUCAUGAACACCUUCAGCGUCAUGCCCUCGCCCAAGGUGUCGGACACGGUGGUGGAGCCCUACAAUGCCACGUUGUCGGUGCACCAGCUGGUGGAGAAUACAGACGAGACCUACUGCAUCGACAACGAGGCCCUCUACGACAUCUGCUUCCGCACCCUGAAGCUGACAACGCCCACCUACGGGGACCUCAACCACCUGGUGUCUGCCACCAUGAGUGGGGUCACCACCUCGCUGCGCUUCCCGGGCCAGCUCAAUGCUGACCUGCGCAAGCUGGCGGUGAACAUGGUGCCCUUCCCGCGCCUGCACUUCUUCAUGCCUGGCUUCGCGCCGCUCACCAGCCGCGGCAGCCAGCAGUACCGGGCCCUGACCGUGCCCGAGCUCACCCAGCAGAUGUUCGACGCCAGGAACAUGAUGGCCGCCUGCGACCCGCGCCAUGGCCGCUACUUGACCGUGGCCACCGUGUUCCGCGGGCCCAUGUCCAUGAAGGAGGUGGACGAGCAGAUGCUGGCCAUCCAGAGUAAGAACAGCAGCUACUUCGUGGAGUGGAUCCCCAACAACGUGAAGGUGGCCGUGUGCGACAUCCCGCCCCGCGGCCUGAAGAUGGCCUCCACCUUCAUCGGCAAUAGCACGGCCAUCCAGGAGCUGUUCAAGCGCAUCUCCGAGCAGUUCUCAGCCAUGUUCCGGCGCAAGGCCUUCCUGCACUGGUUCACGGGUGAGGGCAUGGAUGAGAUGGAGUUCACCGAGGCCGAGAGCAACAUGAACGACCUGGUAUCCGAGUACCAGCAGUACCAGGAUGCCACCGCCAAUGACGGGGAGGAAGCUUUUGAGGAUGAGGAAGAGGAGAUCGAUGGAUAGUCGGAAUAGAGCCGCCCCAGCUCAGAUCCUACAACAACGCAAGUUCCUUCUUGAACCCUGGUGCCUCCUACGCCAUGGCCCUGAAGGGUGCACUGGUCUAAUUGUGUUGGUGUCGGCCCCUCACAAAUGCAGCCAAGUCAGGUAAUUAGUCAUCUGGAACAAAGACUAAAACAGCAGAGAAUUGCGGGUUCUACCCAGUCAGAAGAUCACACUGUGGAGACUUUCUACUAGAGGACUUGAAAGAGAACUGAGGGGCCACAAAAUAAACUUCACCUUCCAUUAAGUGUUCAAGCAUGUCUGCGAAUUAGGAGGGAGUUAGAAACAGUCUUUUUCAUCCUUUGUGAUGAAGCCUGAAGUUGUGCUGUGUUGCCUUAUAAGAAUAUGCAGUAUGGGACUUUGAAAUAAUUGAUUCAUAAUAAAAUACUAAACGUGUG
rnacentral:sRNA from 1 species